rnacentral:rRNA from 1 species
GACGAACGCUGGCGGCGUGCUUAACACAUGCAAGUCGAACGGAAAGGCCCUGCUUUUGUGGGGUGCUCGAGUGGCGAACGGGUGAGUAACACGUGAGUAACCUGCCCUUGACUUUGGGAUAACUUCAGGAAACUGGGGCUAAUACCGGAUAGGAGCUCCUGCUGCAUGGUGGGGGUUGGAAAGUCUCGGCGGUUGGGGAUGGACUCGCGGCUUAUCAGCCUGUUGGUGGGGUAGUGGCUUACCAAGGCUUUGACGGGUAGCCGGCCUGAGAGGGUGACCGGCCACAUUGGAACUGAGAUACGGCCCAGACUCCUGCGGGAGGCAGCAGUGGGGAAUAUUGCACAAUGGGAAGAAGCCUGAUGCAGCAAUGCCGCGUGCUGGAUGACGGCCUUCGGGUUGUAAACCGCUUUCGCCUGUGACGAAGCGUGAGUGACGGUAAUGGGUAAAGAAGCACCGGCUAACUACGUG